GCAGUAGAAAAAUGCAGCACAUUUUUAAAAAAGUAGUCCAUUGACUGGCUGUGAUGCCAGGUUUUCCUAAACUGUUUCCAUAUCUAUUGCUUUAUUGAAGUCCCAAACUUUUGGUUGUGGAGUUUGGGAAGUUUUCUGGAGAGCCAGCAAUUUACCUCCCCUCUUACUGACUGUAGAUCCCUAGGGCAGAAGGACAUGGCCAAUUUAUAACAUGAUCCAUGGUAAAUGAAAACAUUUUUUAAGAAGGAGUUUUCUUCUACAGUCAUUUCAGAAGCACUACUAUUUUAUCUAGAAGGUGAAGAAAUACUGAGAGCAAAGCCACUGUUGCAAUCUGUGGCAGGGUAGGUAGAUGAUAUGUUUCUUUUGUGCUUGAGGGGUUGGCCAACAAUGUUUGUGGUAAUUAUAACUUGUUUCUUGCUUACAGGAGAAGGUGAAAGGGCUUGAGGAGCACCUCUGCAUACUCCACACUGUGAGAAGGAUGUGUUGAGGAACUAAGACAAAAAAUAAGCCAGAUGAAAAAAACAAGGAGGGGAAGGGAAAUCUUUGUCAACAAGUAGAUGUGGUUAACCAUCUGGAGCCUAUAAGGACUGUGACAACUGUGACACAGCUGAAGAUGAGCAAGAGAAAAUUAAGCUGCGUGGAAGCUUUAUGAGGUUCUUCUCCUAGAGGGCAAUUCCAGACAUAUUCAAGUAGAGGCAUUAUCCAACCUCUAAGAGAUUCCAAGAGAUUCCUAAGCAUUCAAAAAAUGAUGGAACUGUUAUCCCAAUCAAAUAAAACACACAUAUCAUAACUAUUUGAUAGUGAACUCUCUGCUGGUUGGGAGGAGAUGGCCAUGCAUAAACCUGCUGUGGUCAUGGGUCUACGCACUAUAACUUCUCAGAGCAGGCCUCCAGAUAUGAUAGAGGACCUGCCAAGAUCACCAACCUCACCGAUCCAUGCUACUCUGUUCACGUGGGAACAAAAGUUGUUGUCACAGGAUCUACAUCUCUAGGACCAGAGAGACUGAAGAGAUGAUGUUGGCCCUUUCCACUGAUGAUCUGUCUGUUGCUGACGCAAUGGCACUGGGUUGCCCACCUUCCCACCAUCGCAGAUGGCAACGUGAGCCUACACCUCUCUCCGGAUGCACGGUCCUAACAUCACA